AUUGAACGCUGGCGGCAGGCCUAACACAUGCAAGUCGAACGAGUGGCGGACGGGUGAGUAAUGUCUGGGAAACUGCCCGGUGGCGGGGGAUAACUACUGGAAACGGUAGCUAAUACCGCAUACCAUCGGAUGUGCCCAGAUGGGAUUAGCUAGUAGGUGGGGUAACGGCUCACCAAGGCAACGAGCCCUAGCUGGUCUGAGAGGAUGACCAGCCACACUGGAACUGAGACACGGUCCAGACUCCUACGGGAGGCAACAGUGGGGAAUAUUGGACAAUGGGCGAAAGCCUGAUGCAGCCAUCCCGCGUGUAUGAAGAAGGCCUUCGGGUUGUAAAGUACUUUCAGCGGGGAGGCGGUACCUGCAGAAGAAGCACCGGCUAACUCCGUGCCAGCAGCCGCGGUAAUAC
rnacentral:rRNA from 1 species